CCUACGUGAGGCAGCAGUGAGGAAUAUUGCUCAAUGGACGAGAGUCUGAACCAGCCAAGUAGCGUAAAGGAUGACUGCCCUACGGGUUGUAAACUUCUUUUAUAAAGGAAUAAAACGAGGCACGUGUGCCUUUUUGCAUGUCCUUUAUGAAUAAGGAUCGGCUAACUCCGUGCCAGCAGCCGCGGUAAUACGGAGGAUGCGAGCGUUAUCAGGAUGUAUUGGGGUUAAAGGGUGCGCAGGCGGAAGAUCAAGUCAGCGGUAAAAUUGAGGGGCUCAACCUAGUCGAGUCGUUGAUUCUGGUUGUCUUGAGUGAGCGAGAGGUAUGCGGAAUGCGUGGUGUAGCGGUGAAAUGCAUAGAUAUCACGCAGAACUCCGAUUGCGAAGGCAGCAUACCGGCGCUCAACUGACGCUGAUGCACGAAAGUGUGGGUAUCGAACAGGAUUAGAUACCCUGGUAGUC
rnacentral:rRNA from 1 species